UGCGGGGGGGAGAAGUCUGGUAGCUCGGCGGGCCCCUAACCCCAAGGUCAGCGGUUCAAAUCCGCUCCCCGCAACCA
rnacentral:tRNA from 1 species